AGAAAAUGCUUUCGUUUUGAAUUAUUUGAAAGAAAGAAAACUCUAAAAAUUGGACACAGAAAGGAAUUAAAGAUUACAAUUAAAGGAGAACACUCAAACUUGACUUACUAAUAUAGAAUGAAGCAAAGUAUUUUAAUAUUGGAUGUACUGAAGGAUAUUUUUGAAAGAAUGGAGCCAGAAAUUAAUACCUGCCUCUGUAGAUAGACUGUGCUUCAAAGAUCCACGUACAAGGAACAAACAUUUCUUGGCACAAUUGAGACUUGAUCUGAAAGUGGCUUUAAAAACGAAAAGUUACAAGAACGACAAGGAAAAAGAUGCUUCACUGGACAUACAAAAAAAAAAGGCUCAUGCUUAAUAAUUCAAAGGGAUGACAAACCAAGAUUGGCAACUCAAAAAGUCCCGACAGACGGAGGAGGAGAUGCUCUAUGGCAGCACCCCCACCAAGAGACGGGCUUUGGGCAUCACCACACCUGGCAAAGCACGAAAGCGCGCACUUUCAGAGGCUUCCAAAUCUGAGCACCCAUCCCACGUCCUCAACUCCACGAUGUCCAAUCCCGACGGCUGAAGGGGGGCCAUUACCAGCCCUGGAUCCUCUCACCAUCCAGGGUCCGGCCGGCAUGAACUGGACCUUUUGGGGCCUGGUUUACGCUGCCACUUUUAACAUUUUGUAAUGAAUUGAUUUCCAAGUUUUUUGUUACAGGGAAUAAAGGUCUAGAUGCAGCAGCUGUUGUGGGCUCAGGCCUGCUGCCUUGUCCACAGGGGAGGGGGGGCAGGGAGAGGUUUGCCUCCUUUCCUUGGGCAACCUUGUCCACCCAGGCCCAGCAGAUGGUCUCCGGCUCACCUUGGGCCCAGGAAGGGGAGACACUACAGGGAGUCCUCUACAAGGAUGCACCCCCUCCCUCUUCACCUCCUGGCCCGUCUGCUGGCUGGGCUGAGAGGCUGGCAUCCCUGGCACUUUGACUAUACUUUUAACGAUCAUGGCUAGAUUUGCACCUUCUUCACUACAGCAGCCUCUUAUUUAUUUGUGUGGCUGUUCGCUUGUUCAAAGAUGUAGGUGAGCAGCAAAAAAUCAGUUGUACUGUUUUGAAAGGGCUUUUUAAAAAUGUCUGACUUUGCUCUACAUAAAAGAUAUUUUUAUUCUGCA